GGCUCUGAGAAGGGCUGCUCUAGUUUAAUCCAUUUGUCCUGGGAUUGGAUGUUGUGAAUACUGAGGUGAACAUGCCAUAGAACCUGCCUUCACGUAGAUCACACUUUAAAGAAGAGACAGGUGAGGACCUUGUGCUGACUGCUGUGUGAAUGAGGUACAGUCAGAAUCCAGAGGGGAGAAGGACUAAUUCCGGAUGGCGGGGGAGGUGUAUCAGGGAAGACCUCACAGAAGCAGACCCUGAAGCUGGAUUUUGGAGGGUGAUAGGUUGGCAGUCAAGAUGGGCAGAGAGUUUCCAGCAGGAACCAGGGCCCAGCGGGGUGAAGCAGCAAACUGAGUCUUGUGAACUAUUGGUAAUCAGGGUCGUUAUGGGUAAACCAUGGGACGGGAAGUGGUGAGGGAUGCCGCCGUAGGGUUGAGCAGGGCUGAGGACCUUUUUAGGCUAUGCUGAAGGAACUUGAUCACACUGAUCGGUAGCUGGCAAACCUUGCUGGUCACCAGAAUUACCUGGGCAAUGUCCGAAACAAUGCCUGGGUCCCACCUCCAGAGGAUCACAUAUCAGUAGGUCUGGGUGUCUCCCCAGGUGAUGAGGAAGAGAAGGGCUGACCAGCAGAGAAGAGGCUGGGAAAAGCAAAACAGCGGGAGUAGCAAUACUGAAAAGCAACCUGGAGAACUGGUCCAGCAGCCUGUGGGGUGACUAGGUUUCUACCCCACUCUUUUUCUGCCCUACUUUAAAAAGAAAUGUUUGGGCUUUCGAGACUGUCUUUUGUACAAUCUUUACUCGAUGACUGCUUGUUGCAGAACAUCUGCUGAUGUGCACUGGGGCAUUAAGAGUGUUACUAACACCGAUCUGGGUUUGGCAGGAGCCCCAUCUGUGUGUAAAGUUUAUUUGGCUCUAUACGCGUCAUCUCAAGUAGUCACAGUAAUGGUAACAAAUGAGGCAUGUUAGGAUUUAUUGUUACAGUACAUACUUAUUA
ensembl:lncRNA